rnacentral:rRNA from 1 species
UACGUAGGCAGCGAGCGUUGUUCGGAGUUACUGGGCGUAAAGGGGGUGUAGGCGGUUCUUUAAGUUUGGUGUGAAAUCUCCCGGCUCAACUGGGAGGGUGCGCCGAAUACUGAGGGACUAGAGUGCGGGAGAGGAAAGUGGAAUUCCUGGUGUAGCGGUGAAAUGCGUAGAUAUCAGGAGGAACACCGGUGGUGUAGACGGCUUUCUGGACCGUAACUGACGCUGAGACACGAAAGCGUGGGUAGCAAACAGG